rnacentral:lncRNA from 1 species
AAGAUUUAAUUAGUAUUCAGUGUUUAGGAUUUAGUAUUCAUAAUUACAUUAGAAAAUAUAACACUUUAUAUUGAAUGAAAGGUAAAUAUUAUAAUAACAUAAGUAUACAUUUGUAUUCUAUUUUAUAACAAAAAGAAAGAAAAAACUGAAAUAAAAAGAAUGAAAAACAAACAUCCAAAAAAAUUAAAGAAAAAAAAGUAAAAAACGCACAGAAAGGAAAAACAAGAGAAACAACUGAAAAAAAAAAUGAAAAAAAAAAAUGAGAGAAAAAAACGCAGGUAAAAAGAAGAGGAAAAAAAGGAAAAAAAAAUGAGGCAAAAAAUGAAAAGAAAACUGGGGAAAAAAACAAAAAAAAGAAACAAAAAAAAAGGGGAAAAAAACAUGAAAAACAAAGAAAGAAAUGGGGCAAAGGAAUUUCGAACCCCUCCCCUUC